UGACCCACAUGGUGCUUUGGCAUCAGUUUCAGGCUCUGUCCUUUUCACAUUAGAAGCAUGAGUCUCAAUCUGAGCAUGUUGUUCAUUAUAGCUCUCCUCUGUCUCCUGAUCUGAAUCCUCACUUGUAUCUGACCAGAAAAAAAAGUCAAUGAUCGGUAUGACGCCUGUCCAUUGCUGCAUUUCACCCUGUGUCUUAUUGUCAUCACCCUCUUCUUCAGUUGAAUGUAUCUGCUUCUUGUCCCUGCAUUGACUGUCAACAGUCACCUUCCCCCCAGAGUCCUUAGGGACCUCUGUCUCCUGAUCAUUUGUACGUGACAUGGUAAAGCAGUGAGCGAUUGUUAUGCAUCUUGUACCUUGCUGCAAUCCUUUCUCUCUCUGACAACUGGAGCAUAGGCCCAUUUCAAACCCAUUGUCAGUUUCAAUACCACAAGGACAGUAGCAGGACUUAUCUAAGCUGCCACUUUCUAUAUUCUCUAGUUGCUUUGUCUGUGUUUUAUCUUUGUUUUUAGAGCAGGAUUUAGGGGACGCGAAUUGGAGGUCAGAAUCAUUCUCGAUCUGGCAAAACAGUCUCAUGGCAUCCUCAGAUGUCAGGAUGGUCAAAUUCAUUGGGGAAAGGGGUUCUGUGUCCGAGUCUGUUGUGAGGUCUACGACCGUUUUGAGGUCUGUGUCUGGUGCCUCUGUUUCAGCAAGCAGUUUCACAGCAUCCUCUGGUGUGAGGACGGUCAAAAUCAUUGGGGAAAGGGGUUCUGUCUCCAAGUCUGCGUUUGUUGGGAGGUCUGUGUUUGUUGGGGGGUCUACGUCCAUCGUGAGGUCUGUAUUUGUUGGGGGCUCUGUGUCCAUCGUGAGGUCUGAGUCUGUUGCUUCUGCAGGAAAUUCCACAGUCUCUAUCUUGCUGUGGAAGGUCUCAUCCAUCUGGACACCCCCAACCACUUUGGAACUGUCCUCUGCUUUAUCUGGUAUGAACCACAGAGACCAAGCUCUUCCAGAAUCUUUGUCAAUGUCAUUCAGCUUCUCGUUGACAUUUAACCAUGAUGACCUAUAACCCACUUGGGAAGAGGUGUCAACAUGUACUGGAAUGGGAAACUUCUCGAGCACUUCCCCUAGUGAUAUACCACUGACUGCAAAGAGAACCACUGCCUUCUCAUCCUCUGCGGCCCAGGCAGACACAUCCUGCAUGAUUUUCUCAUCCAUUUGAUCUUUUAAAGCUUCUAACAGGUUAGUAGUAUCCCCUCCCCAAUACAACUCCAAUAUGGCCUCGAGACAACCAUCCUUUGCCUCUGUGACUGUUGUCGCACUCUCCAGAUAAGUAACCAGUCUCUGCAGCGCACAUAACUUGAACUGAACUUCAGCAAUUGUGAACAAAUCAAGAGUGCUCUCAUCUGCAACAUUAGAGCUACCUUCCACGAUUAUCUGGGCACCACCGAUGCAUACAAUAUCAGUUGCCUGAGGGUUGGUGUGGACAAAUGGUGAAGGUGAACUCUUGUCCAUUUGUGUGAUGACCUGAAGGACCUCAUCAUUGUCCUCUCCUGUAGAUGCCAUUGAACUUGUUGCAGAUGCAUCUACAGGUUUAUCACACUCCAGAAGACACUCAACUUGAACCAUCUCAUUUAGGACAGAGAGAGAGCUUGCAUCAUCUUUAGCUCUUUCCCACAGGUUUAUCACACUCCAGAAGACACUCAACUUGAACCAUCUCAUUUAGGACAGAGAGAGAACUUGCAUCAUCUUUAGCUCUUUCCCACAGGUUUUCUGCCUGUUUUUCGUUGAUGGACCAGGUCUGUAAAAUCUUAAAUGGCAGCUCAUUGCCUGCAUUCUC
ensembl:lncRNA